rnacentral:tRNA from 2 species
GGGGCCGUAGCUCAGGUGGGAGAGCGCCUGCUUUGCAAGCAGGAGGUCGUCGGUUCGAUCCCGUCCGGCUCCACCA